rnacentral:rRNA from 1 species
AUGGUCCAUUUGGCGGUGCACUUACCAAAAGAGGCAAUGCUUAGAGGCCCCGUGCAAUAUGGUUGGAUGUACCCAAUCGAAAGAAGGCUGCUUACUUGUAAGCGUUAUGUGCGAAACACGGCAAGACCUGAAGGUUCUAUUGCUGAAGCAUAUGUCGUUGACGAGUGCUUGACUUUUUGCUCUAGAUACUUUGGCGAUGUGCAAACAAGAUGGAACCGGCCGGGCAUAAAUAGAGAGCGGUCUGAUUCACAAAGUGGUGAUGUCUCUGUUUUCAACCAUGGUGUGAACUUUCUUGGAGCCUCACAAUACUUGGAGGCUGGUGAUGAGUAUGACAAGAUGGUUUGGUAUGUGCUCAGCAAUUGUGCCGAGGUUCUACCAUAUAUCGAGAAGAGUUAA